AUACGUAGGGAGCGAGCGUUGUCCGGAAUUACUGGGUGUAAAGGGUGCGUAGGCGGGACUGCAAGUCAGAUGUGAAAUGCCGGGGCUCAAACCCGGAGCUGCAUUUGAAACUGUGGUUCUUGAGUGAGGUAGAGGUAAGCGGAAUUCCUAGUGUAGCGGUGAAAUGCGUAGAUAUUAGGAGGAACAUCGGUGGCGAAGGCGGCUUACUGGGCCUUUACUGACGCUGAGACACGAAAGCGUGGGGAGCAAACAGGAUUAGAUACCCUGGUAGUCCACGCUGUAAACGAUGAUGACUAGGUGUGGGGGGACUGAACCCUUCCGUGCCGCAGUUAACACAAUAAGUCAUCCACCUGGGGAGUACGGCCGCAAGGUUGAAACUCAAAUGAAUUGACGGGG
rnacentral:rRNA from 1 species